AGCUACCGCCUGUCCCAGCCCCUGCCUCUCGGCGCCCCCCCGAUGCUCUUGACUGAGUGUCCCGGGGGCCCGAAGCGUUUACUUUGAAAAAAUUAGAGUGUUCAAAGCAGGCCGGUCGCCUGGAUACUUGCCAUUAGUGUAUACUGAGUGAAUAGGGUGACCACUCCCACCUCCUCCGAUUGGUUCAAUAUGCAGGGGAGGUCACCUGUCACUCUUUCACAACCUGUGUUCUUUUGAUUGGAGGGCUUUAAUUGAAGGGUGUGUCUAUAUCCCCUUUAUAACUGCUUCCCGUGUCACUUACCAGGUAGCUCUAAAA